rnacentral:rRNA from 1 species
AUUGAACGCUGGCGGCAGGCCUAACACAUGCAAGUCGAGCGAGCGGCGGACGGGUGAGUAAUGUCUGGGAAACUGCCUCAGGGGGGGGGAUAACUACUGUAAACGGUAUCUAAUACCCCGUACCCUCAGAUGUGCCCCGAUAGGGGUAGCGAGUAGGUGGGGUAAUGGCUCACCUAGGCGACGAUCCCUAGCUGGUCUGAGAGGAUGACCAGCCACACUGGAACUGAGACACGGUCCAGACUCCUACGGGAGGCAGCAGUGGGGAAUAUUGCACAAUGGGCGCAAGCCUGAUGCAGCCAUGCCGCGUGUGUGAAGAAGGCCUUCGGGUUGUAAAGCACUUUCAGCGGGGAGGCGUUACCCGCAGAAGAAGCACCGGCUAACUCCGUGCCAGCAGCCGCGGUAAUUC